AGUCGAGCGCGAAAGUGACUUCGGUCAUGAGUAGAGCGGCGGACGGGUGAGUAACACGUGGAUAAUCUGCCUUUAGGACUGGGAUAACUCUGGGAAACUAGGGCUAAUACCGGAUAAGACCACAGGUUCCAUGGAACCAGGGGUAAAAGGCGGCCUUCGGGCUGUCACCGAAAGAUGAGUCCGCGUCCCAUCAGGUAGUUGGUGAGGUAACGGCUCACCAAGCCGAAGACGGGUAGCCGACCUUAGCGGGUGAUCGGCCACACGGGGACUGAGACACGGCCCCGACUCCUACGGGAGGCAGCAGUGGGGAAUCUUGGGCAAUGGGCGCAAGCCUGACCCAGCAAUACCGCGUGAGGGAUGAAGGCCUUCGGGUCGUAAACCUCUGUCAGUAGGAACGAUGGGUCUCCGGGCUAAUAUCUCGGAGAUUUGACGGUACUUACAAAGGAAGCCCCGGCUAACUCCGUGCCAGCAGCCGCGGUAAUACGGAGGGGGCGAGCGUUGCUCGGAAUUACUGGGCGUAAAGGGUCCGCAGGUGGCCUCGUAAGUUAGAUGUGAAAUCUUAGGGCUUAACCCUGAAACUGCAUCUAAUACUGCGAGGCUUGAGUCCAGGA
rnacentral:rRNA from 1 species